AAACAGUAUGAAAGGAGAAAAGGUUAGCACUCCCUUUGAUGCAGAUGGAAGGGAUCCUAGUGGACUUAUAACAUACAAAUGGUUAAGGCAUUGCCAUUUACUCAGUGGCAACUCACCAUGUUUU